UAUACCUAAUAAUAAAGUAUUAGGUAUAAUACUUUAACUAUUUUUGUUAAAAUGGCAAAGAAUAAAAAAGAAAAAUAAUAAUCCUUAUAGUGGAACUUGAUGUUGUUUGAUAAACUAAAUAAUGUGUUCAUACCUAAAAAUAUCAAACAUGGACAGAGGUGUCCAUGUGUCCAUAGUGACAGAGGUACUACAACAAAAACAUUACUUGUCCUUAACACUAAAUGUAGCAGGUAUCUCCAGUUUUACAUCUCUCUGAAUAUGAUUUGUUGUUUUCAGUUUCUUAACUUAAAACACGGGAGCUGUUUUAUCCAAUCCAUUUUCAGAUGUAUUUGUGAACGGCAUUGGCUCCCGUUCACACUCCAGACCAGAUGGUGGCGGUGUUGCACACUUUGUUUUUUUUUUUAAAAGCGCCAUAAAAAGAAGAAAAGCCCUGAAUCCAGAGAAGAUAACGGACUGUGUUCAAAUUUGCCAUUUUUACUCGCAUAAUAUUGAAUUAAAAGUAGCGAGGGCCUUGAUAAUAGUUAGUAGUUUUGGUAAAUUCAAGCUGGUAACGACCUAGUCUGAGUUAGACGACAACACAACAGGACAAGAACUGGAUGGAAAUUAAAUGUGGGCCACGAAAGGGGGACGAAGGCUAACUUGUUGCAAGCUGGUGUCUAAGCAAAUGAAAAUGAAAGAGGAAGCCAUUCCUGGCUUCCAGGAAUUAGAAAACCUGAAGACUUUCCUGUCUCAGAAGAGGCUCUGGCUCCAGAUGAUGAACGGUGCAAGGCUUUAUUUUAUUUUAUUACACUGAGCAGCUGGCCGCAGUUUUAACAGCAAAAACUGCUUUCAGGGCCCUGUGAUGGAC